rnacentral:rRNA from 1 species
GACAGAGGUGCCGAGCGUUAGGCGGAAUCACUGGGCUUAAAGCGUGUGUAGGCGGGCCGUUAAGUAUCUUGUGAAAUCCCCCGGCUCAACCGGGGAAUGGCUGGAUAUACUGGCGGUCUUGAGCGAUCUAGGGGCAGAUGGAACAAACGGUGGAGCGGUGAAAUGCGUAGAUAUCGUUUGGAACGCCAAUGGUGAAAACAGGUCGCUGGGGAUGAGCUGACGCUGAGACACGAAAGCCAGGGGAGCAAACGGG